rnacentral:rRNA from 1 species
AUUGAACGCUGGCGGCAUGCUUUACACAUGCAAGUCGAACGGUAACAGGCCUUCGGGUGCUGACGAGUGGCGAACGGGUGAGUAAUGCAUCGGAACGUGCCCAGAGGUGGGGGAUAACGCAGCGAAAGCUGUGCUAAUACCGCAUGUGAUCUGAGGAUGAAAGCGGGGGACCAGGCAGCAAUGUUUGGCCUCGCGCCUUUGGAGCGGCCGAUGUCAGAUUAGGUAGUUGGUGGGGUAAAGGCCUACCAAGCCGACGAUCUGUAGCUGGUCUGAGAGGACGACCAGCCACACUGGGACUGAGACACGGCCCAGACUCCUACGGGAGGCAGCAGUGGGGAAUUUUGGACAAUGGGCGCAAGCCUGAUCCAGCAAUGCCGCGUGCGGGAAGAAGGCCUUCGGGUUGUAAACCGCUUUUGUACGGAGCGAAAAGGCUCUGGCUAAUACCUGGGGCUGAUGACGGUACCGUAAGAAUAAGCACCGGCUAACUACGUG